rnacentral:rRNA from 1 species
GACGAACGCUGGCGGCGCGCCUAACACAUGCAAGUCGAACGGAGCUUAGAGAGCUUGCUUUUUAAGCUUAGUGGCGAACGGGUGAGUAACGCGUGAGUAACCUGCCCUAGAGUGGGGGACAACAGUUGGAAACGACUGCUAAUACCGCAUAAGCCCACGGUACCGCAUGGUACUGAGGGAAAAGGAUUUAUUCGCUUUAGGAUGGACUCGCGUCCAAUUAGCUAGUUGGUGAGGUAACGGCCCACCAAGGCGACGAUUGGUAGCCGGACGGAGAGGUUGAACGGCCACAUUGGGACUGAGACACGGCCCAGACUCCUACGGGAGGCAGCAGUGGGGGAUAUUGCACAAUGGGGGAAACCCUGAUGCAGCGACGCCGCGUGGAGGAAGAAGGUUUUCGGAUUGUAAACUCCUGUCGUUAGGGACGAUAAUGACGGUACCUAACAAGAAAGCACCGGCUAACUACGUGCCAGCCGCCGCCGUAA